UACAGAGGUCCCAAGCGUUGUUCGGAUUCAUUGGGCGUAAAGGGUGCGUAGGCGGCGCGGUAAGUCGGGUGUGAAAUCUCGGGGCUUAACUCCGAAACUGCAUUCGAUACUGCCGCGCUUGAGGACUGGAGAGGAGACUGGAAUUUACGGUGUAGCGGUGAAAUGCGUAGAUAUCGUAAGGAAGACCAGUGGCGAAGGCGGGUCUCUGGACAGUUCCUGACGCUGAGGCACGAAGGUCAGGGGAGCAAACGGG
rnacentral:rRNA from 1 species